GCCCCAUUAGGCCAGUGGUUUAGGCCGUCGGUUUCCGGAGCCGAAGAUCGCGGGUUCGAAUCUCGCAUGGGGUU